AUACUACUCCCUCCGUUCGGAAUUACUUGUGACAAAAAUGGAUAGAAAUGGAUGUAUCUACAACUAAAAUACAUCCAGAUACAUUCAUUUCUUGAACGAGUAAUUCUGAAUGGAGGGAGUACAUA
rfam:Triticum aestivum genome assembly, contig: Triticum_aestivum_CS42_TGACv1_scaffold_577345_7BL